CUGCUGCCUCCCGUAGGAGUUUGGGCCGUGUCUCAGUCCCAAUGUGGCCGGUCACCCUCUCAGGUCGGCUACUGAUCGUCGGCUUGGUGGGCCGUUACCCCACCAACUACCUAAUCAGACGCGGGUCCCUCCUAUACCACUAUCGUUUUUCACUCAGCGCCAUGCGGCUCCGUGCGCUUAUGCGGUAUUAGCAGUCAUUUCUAACUGUUAUCCCCCUGUAUAGGGCAGGUUCCCCACGCGUUACUCACCCGUCCGCCG
rnacentral:rRNA from 1 species